rnacentral:rRNA from 1 species
CCUACGGGCGGCAGCAGUGGGGAAUAUUGGACAAUGGGCGAAAGCCUGAUCCAGCCAUGCCGCGUGUGUGAAGAAGGCCUUCGGGUUGUAAAGCACUUUCAGUGGGGAAGAAAGCCUUGGGGCUAAUACCCUCGAGGAAGGACAUCACCCACAGAAGAAGCACCGGCUAACUCCGUGCCAGCAGCCGCGGUAAUACGGAGGGUGCGAGCGUUAAUCGGAAUUACUGGGCGUAAAGGGCGCGUAGGCGGUCUGAUAAGCCGGUUGUGAAAGCCCCGGGCUCAACCUGGGAACGGCAUCCGGAACUGUCAGGCUAGAGUGCAGGAGAGGAAGGUAGAAUUCCCGGUGUAGCGGUGAAAUGCGUAGAGAUCGGGAGGAAUACCAGUGGCGAAGGCGGCCUUCUGGACUGACACUGACGCUGAGGUGCGAAAGCGUGGGUAGCAAACAGGAUUAGAUACCCGAGUAGUC